AGCGAACGCUGGCGGCAGGCUUAACACAUGCAAGUCGAACGCCCCGCAAGGGGAGUGGCAGACGGGUGAGUAACACGUGGGAACGUACCCUUUGGUUCGGAAUAACUUGGGGAAACUCAAGCUAAGACCGGAUAAGCCCUUAUGGGGAAAGGUUUACUGCCGAAGGAUCGGCCCGCGUCUGAUUAGCUAGUCGGUGAGGUAAUGGCUCACCAAGGCGACGAUCAGUAGCUGGUCUGAGAGGAUGAUCAGCCACACUGGGACUGAGACACGGCCCAGACUCCUACGGGAGGCAGCAGUGGGGAGUAUUGGACAAUGGGGGCAACCCUGAUCCAGCCAUGCCGCGUGAGUGAUGAAGGCCUUAGGGUUGUAAAGCUCUUUUACCCGGGACGAUAAUGACUGUACCGGGAGAAUAAGCCCCGGCUAACUUCGUGCCAGCCGCCGCCGUAAGAC
rnacentral:rRNA from 1 species